CUGAUAUUUCAAGAUAUUCCAAAAACAAAAAAUAGGAUUGAUGAAGAUGGUGAACAACUCAGUCCCUUAGAUGUUCAUUAUUGCUUGCGAUCAUGCUCGCAAAUCAUUACAGGUCUGUAUGAAUCAUCACUGUUGUUCCGUACUUCCAUAGGCAACAAAUAUCAAAUCAUGAAUAUCAAAUAUGCAAUUAAAUUAGCUAAGAUAACAUAGAUUGGUAAAAUUAUGACAGGCUCACUUUUGCUUUAGGGGAAAGAAUCCAGUUGGAAAAGAACAGAUAUUGCCAACUGGAUAGCAAGCUUAAAUUCAUUUUAUUCAAUCUAAAACCCCAGUUCAUGAAAUUUAAC
rnacentral:lncRNA from 1 species